rnacentral:rRNA from 1 species
GGAUUAGAUACCCUGGUAGUCCACACUGUAAACGAUGAUAACUAGAUGUUUGGGAUUUUAUCCUGAGUGUUCAAGCGAAAGCGAUAAGUUAUCCACCUGGGGAGUACGACCGCAAGGUUGAAACUCAAAGGAAUUGACGGGGGCCCGCACAAGCGGUGGAGCAUGAGGUUUAAUUCGAUGAUACGCGAGGAACCUUACCUGGGCUAGAAUGUGAGUGAAGUUACCUGAAAGGGUAACGUCUUCGGACACGAAACAAGGUGCUGCAUGGUUGUCGUCAGCUCGUGCCG